CCUACGGGUGGCAGCAGUAGGGAAUCUUUCACAAUGGGCGAAAGCCUGAUGGAGCAACGCCGCGUGCAGGAUGAAGGCCUUCGGGUUGUAAACUGCUUUUAUAAGCGAGAAAUAUGAUGGUAACUUAUGAAUAAGGAUCGGCUAACUACGUGCCAGCAACAGCGGUCAUACGUAGGAUCCGAGCAUUAUCCGGAGUGACUGGGUGUAAAGAGUUGCGUAGGUGGCAUAAUAAGUAGCUAGUGAAAUCUGGUGGCUCAACCAUUCAGACUAUUAGCUAAACUGUUAAGCUCGAGACCGGUAGGGGUAACUGGAAUGUCUAGUGUAGGAGUGAAAUCCGUAGAUAUUAGAAGGAACACCAAUAGCGUAGGCAGGUUGCUGGGACGGUUCUGACACUAAGGCACGAAAGCGUAGGGAGCAAACGGGAUUAGAUACCCCUGUAGUC
rnacentral:rRNA from 1 species